rnacentral:lncRNA from 1 species
CGGCCUGCAGUCCGGAACCUCCUGAGACGGCCUGCAGUCCGGAACCUCCUGAGACGGCCUGCAGUCCGGAACCUCCUGAGACGGCCUACAGUCCGGAGUCUCCAGCGGCGGUCUGCAGUCCGGAGUCUCCAGCGGGGGUUUCCAGUUCAGAGCCUCCGGCGAUGAUUCACGGUCCGGUUCCUCUGGCGACGAUCCAUGGUCUGGUUAAACAAAAGCGGAGGGAUCAGCGGGCGGAGCGGGGGCUACGUCACGAACCGGAGCCGCCACCAAGGAUAGAUGCCCACCCGGACCCUCCCCUAUAGGUUCAGGUUUGCGGCCGGGAGUCCGCACCUCCCGGGGGUGUACUGUCACGCCCUGACCUUAGAGAGACGUUUUAUUUCCUCUAGUUUGGUUAGGUCAGGGUGUGAUGUGGGGUGGGCAAUCUAGUUUUUGUAUUUCUUUGUGUUUAGCUGAGUAUGGUUCCUAAUCAGAGGCUAUCGUUGUCUCCGAUUGGGAAUCAUACUUAAGUAAGUGGAAACUUUUUCUCUUUUAAUUCAGCUUUCUUCCCAUUUCUUGUGUUUUCAAAAACAAACCAGGUUGUAGUUUUAAAAUGCAAACCAACUGGAGGAGAUUAUUCAAAAAUGGUAUCUUAAAAUAAGUAACCAAAUCCCACUGGCCCAGGUAUUAUUUCAUCUGUAACCAAAUCCCACUGGCCCAGGUAUUGUUUCAUCUGUAACCAAAUCCCACUGGCCCAGGUAUUGUUUCAUCUGUAACCAAAUCCCACUGGCCCAGGUAGUUUAAUCUGUAACCAAAUCCCACUGGCCCAGGUAGUGUUUCAUCUGUAACCAAAUCCACUGGCCCAGGUAGUGUUUCAUCUGUAACCAAAUCCCACUGGCCCAGGUACUGUUUCAUCUGUAACCAAAUCCCACUGGCCCAGGUACUGUUUCAUCUGUAACCAAAUCCACUGGCCCAGGUACUGUUUCAUCUGUAACCAAAUCCCACUGGCCCAGGUAGUGUUUCAUCUGUAACCAAAUCCCACUGGCCCAGGUACUGUUUCAUCUGUAACCAAAUCCCACUGGCCCAGGUAGUGUUUCAUCUGUUACCAAAUCCCACUGGCCCAGGUAGUGUUUCAUCUGUAACCAAAUCCCACUGGCCCAGGUAUUGUUUCAUCUGUCAACUAAUGACACUCAUUGCACUGUGCACCUGAGGCUAUGGCAGGUAGCCUACAUCUAGGUUACAAUAGUAGUCAACAGUUAGUAUGACACAUUACAUUACAGUGUGGCAGGUUAAAGCCUCAGGCUUAGUUUUAUUACUAGACGAGGUCCAUUAUCAGAUCUGACCCAUAUGAUUCAGUCAUUGAAACCCAUGUCACCUUCAAACACACACACAGCACUUCUUUAGUGGGUUUGAGGAGGGUCAGGGCUUGAUGUUUAAUGCGAGCUCAACGUCAGCUCCUUAGUUGGCCAAACUCUCUUUAUUAAUUGCUAUUGUUAGUAUAGUUUUUAUCUCACAAUCUCUAGUUCUCCUUGUCAAUUCAAGCCCCAUGUCAGAGUGGACCUCCCUGGUGCAUUCCAUCAGUCAAAGUUAUGUGUAUAGGGCUAUUCUUUCUGACACUUUCGUAUCCACCGUUCAUGCAGAAUGGCUCCAGCCGUAAGCUGUGUCCUAGUUGUAACAUCAAUAGGAGUAGCAUCAAAGAAGUGCAAGUUCUGUGGUGCAACAACACAGCUAAAGGUCAAGUUAGAGGCCCAAAAAAUGAAGGCUACAGAUGAAUGGGCAAAUAAGACAAUGAAACAUGGAAGAUAUGCAACCUUGGUUAAUGCAGCAAACAAGCUGGUAAGCUUUAUUAUGUUUUCCUCUAAAAAGAUUUCUGCAUUUCUAGCUUAGGGAUAUGAUAGGCCCUAUGCACUUAUUUGUUGUUGUCUCAUUGUGUCAUUUAAGACUGUAAAUCUAAAUGUCAUUAUUUGACUGAUAUUUGUUGUGUUUCUGGAAGUUAUUUUGUCAUUAAUGAUUCCAGGUACAUAGGUUCCACAAGGUAGGAGUGUACCCCCGCUACUCCUCAGCAAGAGGAAGAAGGAUAACAUUUUGUCGUCAACUGCACUGUGUCCUCCCAGUGGUAUGAUGAAUCAGACCUCAAUGGCACCAAUCCAAAGGUUGUAUGAGGCAAUUGUGAAAGUGGCAAUCAACACCCAUACCCCCACACUACAACCAUCCAACCCUCCUGCUGUUGCUGCCCAAGAACUGUCUGAUACAGUUGACCCCCAGGAGACCAGCUACACCUCCAUCCUCAACCAGGUUGAACCCCCGAUAUCCCCCACCACCCAGGAGACCAGCUUCACCCGGAUCCCCAACCAGGUUAAACCCCCAAUAACCCCCACCACCCAGGAGACCAGCUACACCCACACCAAACCAAAGAAGACGGAGAGAAAGUCCCGUCACCCUCAAAAACCCCUCCAACUCGCUGAGCAUGACACAGCCAACCCCAUCCAACCCCAUCCUACCCCAUCCAACUCCAUUCUACCCCAUCCAACCCCGACCAAGGAAGAGGAAAUAUGACUACAUGCAAAAAGAGUGUCCAGUGCAUCCGGGGCAAACGUUUUUCCCUAUUCUCAAGAUUCUUGCCAAUAGAACUUCAAAGGAGUGGCAAGAAAUGGGAUGAUGACUGGAUCAAGGCCGAGGACCGCGCUUCUCCAGUUUAACCUACUUUAUGCACAAAUGUAUUCUUCACUCUCGCUUCACAUGUAUCACUGUCAACCAUAAGUGGUUGGCCAAAUUCACCAUGAUUUACCAUUGAAACAUUCAUGGAGCAUCAGCAUGCCAACCAUUUGAUCUCAAUCAGUUUCAUGAGAAUAUGCAUUUAGAUAUUAUUCAUAUAAAGUGAGCUAUAAACGUAUUGCAACAGUGACACAUGUUUUGUUGUUUUGGAUCUGUACUCCAGAACUUUUUAUUUGAAAUUAUACAAUGACUAUGAGGUUAAAGUGCAGACUAUCAGCUUUAAUUUGAGUGUAUUUUCAUCCAUAUCUGGUGAACCGUUUAGAAAUUACAGCACAUUUUGUACUAGCCCCCCCCCCCCAUUUUGGGGGACCAAAAGUAUUGUGAUAAAUUCACUUAUGUGUAUUAAAGUAGUCAGAAGUUGAG